UGGCAACACAAGAUCACAGAGCCACCAAGGAGACAGAGAGCGGAGCCGACCCAGCCGGCGUACAGGGAGAAACCAAACGACAUCAGACCCUCGUCUUGGAAGAAGGCCAGUCUGGCAGAUGAACCCAGGCAGGAUGAGGCUUGGUCAGACAAACCCUGACCCUCCUUCCACCACUCCUCCCUCCUGCAAGUGCUGGGAAAGACCCGAGUGCUGUCUGUCCUAAAACUACUCUCCUCUAAAACCAAGUACUGAAUGAGUGAACACAAGCUUCCAUUUAAUUCAGCCAUCAUUCAUAUUAUAAUUUAUCACAGUGUUUUUUUCCUGUAUUAACAUGUCAAAAGGGGUUUUCAUGAAAAAGGCCUCCAUUUGAUAUCAUAGCACUUUCUGUGAAAAGCAAGGACUGGGUCCACUAGGCCAUUCAUACUGUGGGAUGUUUCAUUGGUAUACUUUCAUGUACAACGUGAGUUCCCUUGUUUUAGUGACCCCAAAAUUUGAGAAAAUUGAAAAA